rnacentral:tRNA from 1 species
GCCCGGGUGGUGAAACUGGUAGACACAAGGGACUUAAAAUCCCUCGACUUCGGUCUUACGGGUUCGAUUCCCGUCCCGGGCACCA